UGCUGCUCUCUGUGAAUUUUAACUGAAACUAUAACAUUUUGCAAAAUUAUGUCGUCUGUCGUUUAUAUAACCUAACGUUUUUAGUAAUAAUGGUGAGAAAUAAAAUAAAAAAUUGCUUCAAGUUUUAAUAAAUUAUAAUUCACAAUAUAUAAUACUUUAUCAACUUCCAGGUUAUUUUGUUUUGUAGAAUUCUUCAGUUGCGGCCCAUAGCAUCUGCCUGAAUUGCCGUGAUGUGCGAAAGGUGGUACAAUGCUUUGUACUCGCCGAUGCCUUAGUUCUCCGCCCCUCACCCUGGUAGCAGCCAUUCUGUUUUUCAUUCUCAUCAUGACAAAACACGCCAAGGAUAUCUACGAUAGAAAUCAAAAGAUUUACAGAAUGAACAACUAUAACGACUUUGCAAAUGAUGUACAUCAAUCAAUAAACAAUUUAGAGAGUGAAGUGAACAAGACAGCCAUGUCCCUCCAUAGGUUAACAGAAGCUCUGCGCAUGCACAAUGAUUUCAAUAAGAAGUUAAAGGAGCAUGAUGGUAUUCGGUGACACUGUCAAGGACAGAAAUACCCCAGACUUGAAAACCUACCAAGAGAAGUAAAUAUAUGGACAAAUAUCAUUCUCUUGAAUUUAUUUUUAUAUUAGAAUUUACAAUUUUGGCCUUUUUUAGAGUCUAUGAUCUAAUGUAAGGUACUUGUUAUUAAAUUAAAUCUUAGGAAUUUAUAUAUUUGUUGAUCUAUACUAAUAAUAUAUUAUCGAGAUGAGGUUGAUGCUGCUAACAGUAUUGCUUGGAGAUCUGCUGGGUUCGAGUUUUAUACAUAAUCAUCCUAUUUAUUUAUAUGUAAUGCAGACGAACGGAUUGAAUGUAACUGAUAAUAAAAGAACAUUUAUAUCUUGAA